GACGAACGCUGGCGGCGUGCUUAACACAUGCAAGUCGAGCGGAGCGGCGGACGGGUGCGUAAUGCCUAGGAAUCUGCCUGGUAGUGGGGGAUAACGUCGGGAAACGGGCGCUAAUACCGCAUACUAUCAGAUGAGCCGAGGUCGGAUUAGCUUGUUGGUGGGGUAAAGGCCUACCAAGGCGACGAACCGUAACUGGUCUGAGAGGAUGAUCAGUCACACUGGAACUGAGACACGGUCCAGACUCCUACGGGAGGCAGCAGUGGGGAAUAUUGGACAAUGGGCGAAAGCCUGAUCCAGCCAUGCCGCGUGUGUGAAGAAGGUCUUCGGAUUGUAAAGCACUUUAAGUUGGGAGGCGUUACCAACAGAAUAAGCACCGGCUAACUUCGUGCCAGCAGCCGCGGUAAUAC
rnacentral:rRNA from 1 species